rnacentral:rRNA from 1 species
CCUACGGGGGGCAGCAGUGAGGAAUAUUGGUCAAUGGACGAGAGUCUGAACCAGCCAAGUAGCGUGAAGGAUGACUGCCCUAUGGGUUGUAAACUUCUUUUAUAUGGGAAUAAAAUGUUCCACGUGUGGGCUUUUGUAUGUACCAUAUGAAUAAGGAUCGGCUAACUCCGUGCCAGCAGCCGCGGUAAUACGGAGGAUCCGAGCGUUAUCCGGAUUUAUUGGGUUUAAGGGGAGCGUAGGUGGAUUGUUAAGUCAGUUGUGAAAGUUUGCGGCUCAACCGUAAAAUUGCAGUUGAAACUGGCAGUCUUGAGUACAGUAGAGGUGGGCGGAAUUCGUGGUGUAGCGGUGAAAUGCUUAGAUAUCACGAAGAACUCCGAUUGCGAAGGCAGCUCACUGGACUGCAACUGACACUGAGGCUCGAAAGUGUGGGUAUCAAACAGGAUUAGAUACCCGUGUAGUC